UAGUUCAUGCUGUGGCAAUUCAUCACCAUUUCUAGCAGUUUUAGGACGCCCUGAUAUCUGAACAUUUGGCCUCUCCUGUUCUGUUCAAAAUGCCAGCAAAAGAACCAAACAACACAUUUCCAGUGCCAGUUUUGACCGGUUUUGGGAUGAUGCGCGCAGUGUACGGGCCAGAAAGGAACUGCUAUUUCAGAGCUGCACUGAAUAUAUGAGAGGAAGCUAAAAAAAUAAAUCAAGACAAAAAGGCAUCCUCUUUCCCAGUGAAAAUCCCCUUUCUAAUGACAGAGGUCGAGUCGUCAGGCAGACCAACCUGUUCGUCUCAGAGAGCUGGAUUCUGAUUGGCUGACGAGGUGGCAGGGCGUAACCUAAACCUGCCCUUGCAGAUGGACGUAAGAGGGAAAACGGAAACAGCCUGGGCAGGAAGAGAGGGUGGAGGAAGAGCAAAUGAAGAACAUUCUGUUUGCUUUUCGUGAAAGGGCACAAUAAUCUUAAUCAAAUCUUAAUGAGAGAAGCUGGCAGUCCAGUCAGGCCCACUCAUUCCCCGGCAGGCCGCAUGUCACAGCUGUCCCUCCCACACCGCCGUGUCACUGGACAAGACCCAGAACUGGGUGCCAGCAAAGACCCUCUCAAAACAUUCUGUGACCAUUACACUUUACAUCUGAUUCCAUGGAGUAGCUUUAUUAACGGCUAAUCAAUGCACUUCAUUUGCUGUUGCCUGGGCUAUUCUUUUGUGCUCUAUUCUAUUCCAUUCUAUUCUGCUCUGUUCUCCGUUCUGUUCUGUUACAGUUUGGGGUCAGUGAGAUUUUUUGAUUUGAAAGAAAUUAAUAGAAUUAACAUUCAUAAAGGAUUUCUUAAGUUUAUCAGAAGUGACAGUAAAGACAUUUAUUGUGUUU